CAGCAGCCGCGUUAAUACGUAGGUGGCAAGCGUUGUCCGGAAUUAUUGGGCGUAAAGGGCUCGCAGGCGGUUUCUUAAGUCUGAUGUGAAAGCCCCCGGCUCAACCGGGGAGGGUCAUUGGAAACUGGGAAACUUGAGUGCAGAAGAGGAGAGUGGAAUUCCACGUGUAGCGGUGAAAUGCGUAGAGAUGUGGAGGAACACCAGUGGCGAAGGCGACUCUCUGGUCUGUAACUGACGCUGAGGAGCGAAAGCGUGGGGAGCGAACAGGAUUAGAUACCCCAGUAGUCCCUGUCUCUUAUAC
rnacentral:rRNA from 1 species